GUCACAAGAAAUUUACCUAUUGAUCCUCUGACGAAACGCAAUGAUUUUGAGCUUCUUGCAAGCAGAAAAAAUAUCAGAAUCAUCUGCCUCACAAGUGUCUGGCACAGUGCUUGUCACAUAAAGAUGGCCCACAAAACUUCAAUGACAGAAGAGGGAAAGGAAAGAAGUCUGACAGAUAUCUAACUAUAUCCAAGAAAGACAUGAAAAUUCAUUGAUUUAUAAAUUUGCAUAUAAAAUGUAAAGAAAGAAAAGUAAUAUCCUAUAUCAGAGAUGGCUCUUUGUUUUAGACCUCAUAGAAUUUCAGGCUGCCUUAAAGAUUAUCCUUCCUUAAAGAGAAGAAAGAAAGGAACAGAAAGUUAACGUUAUUCUUUUCGAAUCUACACAAUUAAAGGGUGAAAAAAAUAAGCCUAAAAUGUACAUCCCCAAAUCCAAUGCACUUUCUAUUAUCCUAUAUAUUUACUUUCUCAAAAAUUAAUUUCUCAAUUAUUUAAUUACAAAAAAGAAAGGUUGAAUGCUUAUUUGUUAGGAUUGUUGCAGGUGUUCAAGGAACAAAACAAUUGUAGUACCUGUUCGCAUGGUAUAGACAGACAAUAAACCAACAUAAAUAAUAAAAUGUCAAGUAACUACUAAGAAGAAAAAUAAAGCAAUAUAAAAAUAUAGCUAAUGACUGAGAAGGAGUGCAAUUUUCAGAAGUGCUAGUAAUAAAAGAUUUAUCUGAGGAGAUGAGAUUUGAAUAGAAAACUAAAUUAUGUUUUGAGUUAUUUAAGGAGCACACCGUGAAAGAUGUAACAAGGGGAAGUAAGAAUGAAGGCCCUGAGAUGUGAAUGAUCUUGGUGUGAUCACAGAGUCAUGAAGAAUAGAAAUGAGAACAUAAUGCAAGUGAUUCUGGAACGUGUCAGAUCAUGGAAAGUGUUGGAGACCACUGUAGAGAUUUAGAUACUACACGAAUAUUACAGGUGUUGGAGUAGGAAUUAACUCUGUUAAGAUCAACCUAGGUGUUAGCGGAUUGGAUUGUAAGGGGGCAAGAGAAGGAGUACAGAGACCUGCUAGGAGGCUAUUGCAAGAGUCCAUCUUAGAGAUCAAUUAAUGGGUCAGGAUGGAGAGCUGAGUGCUGGAAAGCAGCCAGAUGUGUGAUGCAUUUUGAAGGUGGAGAUGAGUGACUCUUCUUAGCCUACUUGAAUGGAGGCUGUAGGAAAGGAGAGGAUAAAGAAGAAUUGUUAGGGAUUUACCAGAGAAGCCAAAUGAAGUGGGUGCCAUAUGCUGAGAUGAGGAAGCCCAAAGGAAUAACAGGUUAGGAAUGGAAGGAAAUCAGGAAUUCCACUGGGACAUGUACAGGUUGAGAUGUUUUUUGGACUUUUAAUGUAUAGAUCAUCGUGCCUCUUAUUUCUAUUGCUGCUGAGAGCAGUUCAGUUCUGCGGGUGUUUUUAAAAAUUCACUCCAUGUUAUUGGCCAAUUGACCAGAUAGAUCAAAAACUCAGAAGAGACAAAGCUCAUUUUCCAGAAACACUCUCAACCAGCCAGGUAAACAAUACACAUUCAAAGCCAAGUACCAAAUCAAUGUUUAUGAAUUAGCUAAACCUCAGAUAAUGUCAAUGUAACGCCACAAUAAAAAACACAUCUUAAUAUUUGCCUCUGCUUUCCCUUAAACUGUAUUCAUAAGGAUAUUUCCCUACCCCUAAAUGAAGAUUCAGGCAAGUUCAAAACUUUUCUGGUUAAUCUUAGAUAGUACUUCAGACAAAUUUUAGUCAUACAAACAAUCUCUAUUUAGAAAAUAAAAUGUUCAGAUGCAUGCAAUGAUCACAAUUCUGAACUUAGCUUGAAAUUUCUUAGCUCAGAUCUUCUGUGGUUACUUUUUUGCUCAGCACCAAGGACCAACCAGAGGAAAGAGGAGGAGCUGUAAGGAAAUGUAG
rnacentral:lncRNA from 10 species